UUGGUGAAUUACAUCGUUUAAACUUGACCAAUCGCGUGGAAAGGAGUUCUCUCCGCAAAAAUCCGAACACAAUGUAUAUUGUGUUCUUUUGCCUAUAUUGGGGAUUCAGAUGCACUUUCCAAAAUGAGAAAGAAAAGCUUGAGCAUGGAGGGAAAAAUCAACCCUUGUCCUAGUGAGGUAUAGGAGCCAUAGCAAAAACUUAGCGGGUAGCAAUUAAGUGGGUAAAUUACGCUAGCAGAUUCUGAGGUUGGCAAACGCUUUAUUUAGUCUGUAUUUGAGUUUGAACAUGGCUCUUCUGAAUUUUAUAUCAUUUAGAAAACUAACACACAAUAAACAUGCUAAGAUUGUGCCUUGAGGGCAUCAAAAGUACCUUCACCACAUAAUCCUCCACUGAAUAUGGGUUAUCCUUCUUUAGUUGGAUAAAACCAUGGUAAACCGAUUCAUUAAUGGAGAAAACAAGGGGCUUGUCUCAUAGUCACUCAAAACCUCUACAAUGCAUAUACAAAAAACACUUCCAAGGAAGAACUUUUUUAGAAUCUUAGCCAAGAAUGUCUACUUGUUGCCCAAAAGGGGGGUAAUUCCAUUCAUUUUUUUCUCCUCUAUUUUUUUCUCUGACACAAUACAUGUCUUCACGCCCCUGCAUAACAACCAUAAAAUAUCCUUUAUAUGAAAUGAAUCUUAGUUCAGGAUUCUUGAUGACUGCGAUUAACUUUGGAUGUAAAAACGCUUCCAAGUUUUCACGCGAACCAACUUUAAAGCUUCAAAUAUGCAAAUCCUCUCCGUAAUCAAUACUGAUAUUCAGGACCUAUGCUAUUAUUGUUAUAGUGUCACUCUCAUCACAGAUUCUAUGAAAUAUAAAAUUGUUGAACUAGAGCCACACGAUAUCGUUUUAAUUGGAAGCUUUGAUUUGGGAAUAUCAUACUUUUUUUCAGCUCUGUUGCAUUUCCUCUGUAGGUGGCUGUGUGUACGGACAGCUACAAUGAUCCAUAUCUUUCAUCUUCCCGAGGAAAUGGAAAUAAGCAUGUCUCCAACGGGUUCUUGAUUAUCAAUGUUCCACAGAUCCCCAAAACCCCCACAUGAAUCCCAUUCCUACGCUGAUGGAGAACCUCGCUUUUCAAACUUACCUCAAUCAUCUGUUGUCUUCUUCAUCUCUCCAGGGGCUGGGCCCACCGAGUCAGUACACUUGGUUUACAGUGGAGACCAACAACGUGCGAGGUCCCUCGUAAAUUGACGGGAUCAUUGAGGGUCUGGACACUGGUUGCUGUGUGGGGAUUUGACCAGACAAUGGUAUAUGACAGGUUUCAAGUGAUUCAGAAAAGUCAGAGAUGCCAUACAUGGGGAAUAGGACCGGAUAAAGCUCGUUCUGAGAGAGGGUCGAGUGUUUCUAACCUUUAUAAGUUCCAAUCUUCUUGGUAUCUUUCCCGUCAAGGGAUCAUUGAUAAGUUAAGGUACCCAACCUGAAAAAAAAAGGCUGGUAAGUCUUGGGAAGUCUCCAGAAAUAUGACAGAGGAGAUCGAGAAUAUUCACAAGGUAAAGGAUGGGACGCCUGAUAUUCAAGUGUUCUUCCCUUUGAAAACCACUUCAAGUAUCAGUUUCAUAUCGACUCAGUAUCUAACUUAAUCUCAGUUUCAGGGCACUCAGAUUCCCUAACAGGGGGGAAUUUUUCUGACAGCUAUUUUGAGAGAGGGCCAGUAUGUGAAGAGAGAGCGGCUACAUAUUUGUGAAGGAACGAUUCCAGCAAAGGGAAUUAUUCCGAAUACGGCGAAUCCAAGGAUGGCAUUGCUUUCUCCAUCCAAGAUGGAAGGUUUCCGGAUUAGUUGAUUGUCCCAAUAUCAAGGUUCCCAUGUUGUACAAUUCUGCCAGGUGGAAGGGACUUCCCCGGAAAGAUUAUUCUUACUGAGCAUUAAGAAUUUGAGGAAAUUUUGGGAACCUAUUGAGCAUGUAUAGUACAGCAGACGUGUUGACAUAUCAAGGAAAUACAAGUCGGACUAUCCUUCCAAACGUCGGGAAUUAUCCAGGAUAGAGAUUAUUAUAGAUGGCUGAUUUGUCAAUAGAACUGUAGAUUACCUAUGGACAAAAAAGGGAAAUGCUACCAUUUAGAGAGUUCAUAGAAAUAUCUAAGUCUGUCAAAUAGGGCAUUACUUCCCAAUGUCUAGAGGAAUGGGUCCAGAGGACAAGUUAGUCAUCAGAAUAAUGCACUCACAUUGGAAAAGACCCCCCCCCCAAAGUGGGAAGAGACCUCAAAGCGGUCCGAGCUUAGAUCGACUGUGGAGUGGUGUCGAACUCUAAUGAGUUCGGCACUGUCCCGCUAUAAGGUAUUGUAAGCUGAGCUACGUCUAGUUCAUUGAGCUGCAAAUCCAACUUCCAAACCAUAUGCGGGUGAUCUGAAAAUUACGGCAUUGUUGAGCAACCAGCAAGUUUUCAGGUCAUUUUGAUUUCGAAGCCAUGUAGGGAAUCUGGGCCCAACUUGGCAUGAUCUGGUAUUGAUGUACUGAGUUUAAAAAAGGGGAAGCCAAUGAGGCAUCGAUGUCAAAGAAUAAUGAAACAUUUGGUGAUCCUUUUUUCAUUGACAACCAUUAAGCUUGAUUAGAUUUUGCCCAAAAACCCCCCCCCACCAAAAUGAGCUUCAGUUAUGAACCUCACAUGGAUUAUCUGAGAGCUCCAGCACAUCCAAUGAUGACAGCUGCCAGAGACUUGGGGGAUGUGCUACCUCUCAUUCUGAUUUUGAGAGAUGUCCAAUUCCUCCAAAAUAUGAAAUUCUGAUGGAGUUUGGAAUCGACCUUUGAAUGCGUUAGACGGGAAUCGAAGAUGCCGCAAAUCCUAUAGGUCUCCCAAUGAAGUGGGCAGAUUGCUUGCCAGUUGGUUGUAUCCCAGGUCCAGCGUCUCCAACCUGCUAUUAGGGCAUCCAGCCAAACCAUGAUUGACCUGAUCACCAGUGAUUCGUUGACAUUUCGGUCUCAAAAAUCUGCAAUUGCAGAGCUUAAAAUGCUUCCGUAGCCCACCUUGGCGAUUGUUGGAGUUGAAAUCAAGUUGGACAAGGGCAUCAAGAUUAAAACAACCAGUUGGGUAUUGUGGAGUUGAAGCCGGUGUUGAGAGAUCGAGAUCAAGUACGAAAGGGAUGUAAAAUUACUUGUGGAAGAGCGAGCGGUGGGAGGUUGAAAUGCUGACAUUGGGCAAGUGCAAUUCUAACAGAGAAGGAUACAUAUAAUUGUCCCCCGAAGCCAAUAAGGAUGCAGCCUUGCUAAGGUCAACACCUCCAAAUUAAGGACGAGAGAAGAAAGACAGAUAUCCAUUUCAGAUUCAUCGGCACUGACACUCCAACGUUAGAGUUGAGACAAACAGAUCAAGGAAAAACGUGGAAAGGUUUCCGAGAUGGGAGGCCAUGUUCCCAAAAGAUGCACCACCAGAGAGAUUGAGAUAUUCAACUUCGUGAGGGAUGCCAGAAUUCGGGAUUCGGAUCCCUCCAAAGUUAGUUCAUGAUCAAAUCUGAGUAAGUCAAUACUUCAAGUUGAGCCAAAGUAGGAAUGAUCUCACUUCAAGUCCCCCAGCAAUUACAUUGCGGUCAUUAACUAUCAGGAAAUUGAUUUGCGAAGGUUAAGGUUGAUGACAUUUCCAGUUUGUUGUUGCAAUCUCACGCCUAGACCAAAAUUCACCAAACCCCCAGACACAUGUUAUACCCCACCCGACGAAGAGGUGGCCUAAAGGAUGUUAGAGUUUUCAAAAUAUCUGGUGUUAAUGUUUGGGUUUUGUAAAACUUCCUUGUUCCUUUAGGAUUCUCACUUUGGUAUGUGGGCUUUGUCCCACAUUGGCUCUAGAUUAUGGAAAAGUUACCUUCUUUAUAAAUGGAAAGAUUCUUAAAGUAUUAAAUAUUUUUGGAUCGCAAGGGGCUAUGUAUGUGCUUGCAACGUAAACCGGCGAAGCGACGAUGCUCUGCACCAUGAACCACACCAGGCCGCGCGUGUGCGUGGCAGUGGGCUGUGUGGCUGCAAAUGUUGGCGCUUUUGGCGCACGCGCGGGACUAAAGGAUGCGAUGGUUCGAAAAGAUUGCGAUCUCAACCGUUGUCGUAACAGUGUGAUUCCAACGGUAUAAUUUCAAUCCGAAAGUUGGACUAUUCGGAUUGAUCCAACGGUCACACACUUAAGCGAAAUGUUUGGUGAUUGAAAAGUGCGUGGUAGCCUAUAGACUAGUCCACCUCUUAUAACGAUUAUUAUAUCAGACAAAAUCCGAAAUCUUUAGGAGAAGAAAUAAUACUAGUAAAGUCCAUAUCAAUUUUGAGCAGUUAUCUAAAGAUUUUGAUAUUCUGCAACGAAGAAACAAAAUCUUAGAGGUUUCAAAGUUCUCCUUCUUAAGAAAAGCAGAUAUUCUGACUGUUUGUUUGUGCCAAACAAGAAUAGUCAAGCACCUAGAGUUCGCCUGCUUCAUUGUAUCUUGAAAGCCAGAUUUGCUGCUAACCGUUGACACACCACAUAGGUGGGGGCAAAAAAAAUAUGUCUUUAGGAAAAACGACACCACGACUACCAUUAUCGUAUUUUCACCAAAAAGAUCCGUGAAGACUCUUUGAACUUAAGAAGUGCCUUCUUCUCUGUUCAAAGCAACCAGUUGUGAUGACAUUGUUGUAGCAGGAGGGUGAGUUUAAGGAGGUGAGUUAUUAAUGGCUUCAAGGUAAAAAAUUCCGCGACAAGGAGACUGAGGACAGAGAAGUUGAGGGAAACCAUUUUUCAGACCCACUUGUUUUUGAGGCCAUGUAUGCCAAUGGAGUGUUUGUUAGUGUAAUACGUAAACAACUCUCGUCGUUUUAUAUAGACCAACUUUCACAUGCCAAUGUGCAAAACAUAUAAUGGGGAAGGGCUCAGGUUUAGCUGGAACUAUCGAAAAACUGAAUAAUCUACACCGAGCUUCAGCACGUCUGAACACCACAUCAUUGUGCUGAGGUGGAGAUUUAGCAUGGGUUAGUAGUUAUUGGCCAACAUAAAUGAGUUAGAAACUUGUCACAUUUAUC
rnacentral:lncRNA from 1 species